rfam:Candidatus Wildermuthbacteria bacterium RIFCSPHIGHO2_02_FTLL_49_9 rifcsphigho2_02_scaffold_3346, whole genome shotgun sequence.
GGGUGCAAGGUUACAGGCAGAUAGUGGAUGCCUUGGGAUGCAAAGGCGAUGAAGGACGUGGCGUGACUGCGAUAAGCCUCGGGGAGCAGUUUAGCAUGCUUUGAUCCGGGGAUUUCCGAAUGGGGAAACCUGGUCCGCCGAAAGGUGGAUCGCCCAGCCCUUGAGGUUGGGAGCGAACCCGCUGAAGUGAAACAUCUCAGUAAGCGGAGGAACAGAGAACGCAAGUACGUCCAGUGACUCACCAGACAUCAUCAAUUGAGCGGCGCGAUUUUGAGACAGAUUCGCGACGCGAGGAGCGAUGCGUACCUGAAAGGUACGUGAGCGACGAGCAACAAAGAAGAUGGCCAAAAUGGCGCCGCCCCAAAGGGGAAGCACACUACCGGCCAAUCGCUGCGUUGCUCCUCCUCAACGUACCAGCGGGUACAAUUUCGUCGUCGCGCCUUGCGCUUGUCUCGGUAGUGCGCUUCUCAAUUUGAUGAGGCCUGGCGAGUCACUGGACUAAUUCCCUUAGUAGCGGCGAGCGAACGGGGAGGAGCCUAAACCUCGCUGUCCUACAGGACAGCGAACAGUUGACAACUGACUUUUGACGAUUGACCCUGAAGGAUGAAACAUUCCUUCUUGUCAAUUGUUAAUUGUCAAAAGUUAAUUGUUCGCCGCCCUGUAGGGCGGCGGGGGGUUGUAAGAUUAUAGCGUCGGGAGUAUUUCGGAUGCACUGAAAUAUUCUUGGAGGGAGAACAUCUAGAUAAAGUAGUUAGAAGAACGCCCCUGGAACGGAGCGGCCACAGAGGGUAAAAGCCCCGUAUUCGAAAACUACCUUUAUGCUCCUUGCUAUUUUUCUUGAGUACCUCGGGAAACGAAAAGCCCGCGGGAAGCUUCCGGAACUAUCCGGAAAGGCUAAAUACUUUGCAUCACCGAUAGUGAACUAGUACCGUGAGGGAAAGGUGAAAAGCAGCCCGGUGAGGGCGAUGAAAUAGAACCUGAAACUAUCUUGCCUACAAAGAAUCGGAGCCCCGUUAGAAAUUUGCUUGUGUUAGACAGUCUAAAGUUUGAACAUUAACUUUAACUUGUUUAGCUUUUGCUCAAAAAGAACAUGUUGUUCUUUUUGAGCAAGUGAAUACAUCGGCAAAUUUCUAACGGGGUGACGGUGUGCUUUUUGCAGAACGAGCCAACGAGUGUUUGUGCCAGCUUUGUCUAAGCGCCUUUGGCGUGAAGGCAUAGCGAAAGCGAGUGUGAAUAGCGCGCUCCGCCGCAAGGCGGAUGAGCUGUCGCAAACGACCCGAAGCCAAGCGAGCUUGCCAUGAGCAGGGUGAAGGACGACGAAGGUCGUCUGGAGGCCCGAACCCGUAGAUCGUUCAAUUUCUUGGGAUGACUUGUGGUAAGAAGUGAAAAGCUAAUCGAGCUUGGUAAUAGCUGGUUCUCCCCGAAAUAGCUUUAGGGCUAGCGUUGUAAAGCAAGUCCUGGAGGUAGAGCUCUGGAAAGAACGUUCUUGGAGCAAUCCAGACGUUUUUACCAAACUUCGAAUGCCAGGACCCUAGAUACAACAGUCAGAACGCGGGGGCUAAGCUCCGCGCUCAAAAGGGAAACAGCCCAGAUCUUCAUCUAAGGUCCCUAAAUCAAGCUAAGUGCAAACAAAGGAAGUGAAGCUCCAGAGAUAGCUAGGAGGUUCGCUUAGAAGCAGCUAUCCUUUAAAAAGUGCGUAACAGCUUACUAGCUAAGGAGUUUUGCGCCGUAAAUUUACAGGGGCUAAGCUUGAUACCGAAGAUAAGGAUCGUUCGCGCCUCACUUUUGUUCAGCACGAACUCCAACAUUUGACCAUUGACCUUUGACCUUUGACUAUUGACCUUAAGGAGGAUCAUAUAUCCUUCCUUAUUGUCAAUUGUUCAUUGUCAAAAGUUAAUUGUUUGAGCGAGUGCCGAGCGUAAGCGAGGCACGAACGAUGGUAGGGGAGCGUCCUUACUGCGGUAAAGUCGAAUCGCGAGAUUCGGUGGAGCGGUGAGGAGUGAGAAUGUUGGCAUGAGUAACCACAAUGCAGGUGAAAUCCCUGCACACCGAAAACCUAAGGUUUCCUUGGCAAUGACAAUCAUCCAAGGGUUAGGCGGCCCUAAGCUGUGCACCAAACGGUGUUCAGCGAUGGACAGAAGGUUAAUAUUCCUUCCCCUCGUCAUAUGCUUCUUUGGAUAACGGAGUAUAGUAGCUUGAGCAAGUUAAUGGAUUCUUGUCCGUGGCAUAAUCGGGCAACCGAAAGUGCAGCGGCAACCUGCCGUAAGGCGGAGAGUCAAGUGAGCAUGCUUCCUAGAAAAGUUCCAAAGAGAUGAGUAUGAUGAGUCCGUACCGGAAACCGACACAGGUGGGUUGGUAUUAAUGUACUAAGGUGAACGGGUGAAAGCUCCUGAAGGAACUCGGCAAAUCAGUGGUCGUAACUUCGGGAUAAGACCUUCCUCCUUCGCUCUUUGCUUCGCAAAGAGCUACGGAUGGACGAGUCCUCCUCCUUUCUUAAAGAAUUACGCGUUAAAACUGAAAGCGAAGGAGGAAUUCAUCCUUCCGAAGCUCCAAACGAAGUGAGGAGCGGAGGAGGACGCAGCAAACGUAUUCCUAGCGACUGUUUACCAAAAACACAGGUCCCUGCUCAACUCGAAAGAGGAUGUAUAGGGGCUGACGCCUGACCAGUGCUGGAGUGUUAAUCCUGCCGGUCUUUGCCGCAAGGUGAAGGCUGAGUGGGUGAAGCCCCAGUGAACGUCCGCGGUAACUAUAGGUACGGUCUGUAGUUGUAAAACCUAGCUAAAUGCGGGAAUAUCUCAACAAAGACUUGGAGGUACUCGGAAGGAAUCGUCCUCCUUUCAGUAACAAUCCGUUCAAGAGAGACAAUCCGCAGGAAAGAUCAUUUGCGAAUCCAUCACAUCUAUGGAAGAUGAAAGAUGGGUGAAACAAAUCCCAAACCACAUCGGCUGGUAUCUCGCGGGAUUUACAGACGGUGAAGGAAGCUUCAACGUCUCACUAAAACGAGAUCCAGAGUACCGGACGCGUUGGCAUAUAGAGCCGAGCUUUAAUGUCUCACAGAGAGACAGAACAAGUUUGGUGCUCUUCAAACGCUAUCUGGGAGUGGGGGGACUCCGACAGAGAAAGGACGGAGUCACCUACUACGAAGUGCGCAAUUAUCACGCGCUUCAAGAGAGAGUAGUUCCUUUCUUCAAGAGGUUUUCUUUCUUCUCUUCCACGAAAAAGAGGAACUUCUCUCUAUUUAAGAGAGUCGUGGAGCUGAUGAACGAAGGAAAACACACCAACAAAGAAGGACUGGAAGAGAUUCUCCGCCUUAGAGAGAACAUGAAUGAAGGCCGAGGUCGAAAGAGAAAGUAUUCUUUGGACGAUUACUUAGAUUCGCAAACGAAAUCCUCAGAGACUAUACGCUAGGCCCCGACGUAACGUCGGGGAUGAGAUAGUCCGAUCUCAUAGGUGACUAUGAGUCAACAAGAAUGAACCGUGUUAAAGUAGGAAAUCUGCUUUAGUAAAAUCUGGCUAUAUGCUGGAAACUCCCGUGUAUCUUUGACUGGCAACGGCCAAAGUGGGGACAAUCAGCAGGAAAGACUUCUAUGGAAUCAUAGAAGAAUCCUCAGAGACCAUACGCCAGACUGAGUUUUCCUCAGAAGAUAUGGUCCGAACUUCAUGGCGACAUGGAGAGUAUCGCAGAAAUGCGAUACCGCCAUGCCUCUUUCCACGAGGCUUGGUAGGCAAGCAACAUCAUUGAGCGUAAUCCCUUGCCUGGUAAGUUCAGGCCCGCAUGAAAGGCGUAACGACUUGGAGACUGUCUCCAGGAGCUGCCCGGUGAAAAUGCAAUACCGGUGAAGAUGCCGGUUACCUGCGGCUAGACGGAAAGACCCCGGGAGCUUUACUAUAGCUUCCUAUUGUCUUGUCAUUUUACCUGCGUAGAAUAGCAGGGAGGCUGUGAAGCCCGUCUUUUGGGAUGGGUGGAGCCGUCAGUGAAAUACCUGUCUGGUAAGAAGGUAAGACUAAUUCUCGCUUUGCGAGAUGACAGUGGGAGGUGGGUAGUUUUAGUGGGGCGCUAGCCUCCAAAAGAGUAACGGAGGCGUUUACAAGGUCAGCUAGCUCCGGAUGGAAAUCGGAGUGGUCGUGUAAAGGCAUAAGCUGGCUUUACUGCGAGACGGGUAUGUCGAGCAGUUGCGAAAGCAGAACUUAGUGAACCGAUACGCCGUAGUAGAAGGCGUAAAGAUCAUCAACCAAAAGUUACCCCGGGGAUAACAGGCUGGUAGUGCCCGCGAGUCCAUAUCUACGGCACUGUUCGGCACCUUAUGUAGGAACAUCGGGGUGCUAUCCUGAGCAAUCGGGAUACCUGUCUUCGAUAACGCCAUCGAAGAGAAAAAAUCUGGCUUAUAACGGUGGACUCCAUGUGGUAAAAUGUACCAAUACCGUAUGGACAAUACCGUGGGAAGUUUAACCCAAUUGCAGCGGUCGGUUGUAAUAGGUUCUCUCUUGGGAGAUGGAUAUCUAAGGAUUCUCCCAGGGAGAACAGAUGCGUUUCUUGAAAUCAAUCACAGUAUUCAUGCAAAAGAAUACGUAGAUUGGAAGUUUGAGAUUUUAAGGAACAUCUGUCUGUCACCACCGAAAUCAAGAAGAGGAAACGGCAAAAGGAUUGCUUAUCGCUUCUUUACGAGACAACAUCCUGAGUUGAGUAAGUUUCAUAGGAUGUUCUACCGAGAAGGAGUAAAAAUCAUUCCCACUCAGCUUGUCCUGGACCCAAUGGCCAUUGCCAUCUGGUUCAUGGACGACGGAGGAAGGAGUGGAGAAAGCAAUUUUUACCUCAACACGCAGAAGUUUGCGCUUGAAGAGCAGAACUUCUUGAUUGAGAAGUUGCGAGAGAAGGGUCUGGAGUCAACGCUUAACAAGGAUAAGAGUUACUACAGAAUCCGUUUUCUCUCUUCUUCAAUCCGAAAGCUCAAGGAGCUCUUGGAAGGGAACAUUAUUCCUUCCAUGCGAUACAAACUGGGUUAUAACCUCGUAGAGACUUGAUUCGAAAGAAUCAGAGUUCUUCUCAUAAGAGAAGGGCUAAUACGCCAGCUCCAUCAUUCUAUGAUGGAUGAAGAUAUAGUCCGAUCCUCUCGGCAACGAGAGAAAAAUGUCGACAAGCGAUGUCGGCUCAUCACAGCGCGGGGCUGGAGAAGGUCCCAAGCGUUUGGCUGUUCGCCAAUUAAAGUGGUACGUGAGCUGGGUUCAAACCGUCGUGAGACAGGUUGGUCCCUAUCUACCGCAGGCGUCGAGUCUUGAGGAGAGUUGUUCCUAGUACGAGAGGACUGGAAUGAACCAACCUCUGGUGUACCAGUUGUCCUGCCAAGGGCACCGCUGGGUAGCUAUGUUGGGAAAGGAUAAGCGCUGAAAGCAUAUAAGUGCGAAGCCUCCUCCAAGAUGAGGACUCAUGAAUCCCUCGAAGAUCACGAGGUUGAUAGGCUCCAGGUGAAAGUGCAGUGAUGCAUUGAGCCGAGGAGUACUAAUGAUUCAAAAUGAUGAUUCCUG